rnacentral:lncRNA from 1 species
GAGGCAGCAAACAGACGCCAUGUAGAGACUGGGAAGUUAGGACACACCAGGCAUUCUCUGGAUCCCCAAAAGAUGCCAUCGCCCCCAGACAGCAGGAAGUAAUUUGAAGAACACAGAACCCACAUUCCCAAGAUGUAGGCUCCAGGACUGCAAACUAGAGCUUCACCCUGAGAUGGAACUAAAUCUGAGGCCUCUGUGUACAGCAGGGGGGCACAGUGAAGACUUUAAGUUGUAAAAAGGAAACCCAGGGCCUCACACAUUCAAGGUGAAUCUCUCAUUGGCCUGGAUCUCCCCAGUUGAGCUACACUGGCUGGCCAGCAAGCCCCCAGGAUCCUCUGUCUCCCAGUGCUAAAAUUGCAGAUGUGGACACAUAGUCCAUCCCUUUCACUUGAAUGUGGAGGGUGUGAACUCAGGUCCUCAGGCUUGUGCAGACAGCACUUUACCAACUGAGCAAUCCCCAGUCUCCACCCCUCACAUUUUUAAUGACUCCAUGCUAGUUACUCUAUAAAAUGUCCCUAAAUUUGGGGUCAACUGCUGUUUCUUCGAAAUUCUACUGAGGUUUUAUACAG